GGGUUGUGAGGUUAAGCGACUAAGCGUACACGGUGGAUGCCCUGGCAGUCAGAGGCGAUGAAGGACGUGCUAAUCUGCGAUAAGCGUCGGUAAGGUGAUAUGAACCGUUAUAACCGGCGAUUUCCGAAUGGGGAAACCCAGUGUGAUUCGUCACACUAUCGUUAACUGAAUACAUAGGUUAACGAAGCGAACCGGGGGAACUGAAACAUCUAAGUACCCCGAGGAAAAGAAAUCAACCGAGAUUCCCCCAGUAGCGGCGAGC
rnacentral:rRNA from 1 species